GCCCUUUAGACUGGGAUAACAGAGGGAAACUUCUGAUAAUACUGGAUAAGUUAGUAUAUCGCAUGAUAUGCAAAUGAAAGCUACGGCACUAAAGGAGAGCUUUGCGUCCUAUUAGCUAGUUGGUAAGGUAAGAGCUUACCAAGGCGAUGAUAGGUAGCCGGCCUGAGAGGGUGGACGGCCACAAGGGGACUGAGAUACGGCCCUUACUCCUACGGGAGGCAGCAGC
rnacentral:rRNA from 1 species